AUGGUUAGACUUAACAUGUAUUCAUACUAAGGAGCAGUCAUAAGAGGGGGAUUAGAAAUAGAUUAAGACAUUCCAUUCCGAUCAACAACUAGAAAUUGUUGCUGAUACCCCGUAGGCUGAGGAGCAAAAGGAGAAAUCCGCCCAAGGAGGGGCUCGCGUUUAAUUAGCUAGUUGGUGAGGCAAUAGCUUACCAAGGCGAUGAUCAGUAGUUGGUCCGAGUGGAUGAUUAGCCACACUGGGACUGAGACAUGGCCCAGACUCCUACGGGAGGCAGUAGUGGGGAAUUUUUUGCAAUGGGCGAAAGCUUGACGGAGCAAUGCCGCGUGGAGGUGGAACGCCUACGGGUCGUCAACUUCUUUUCUUAGAGAAGAAACAAUGACGGUGUCUAAGGAAUAAGCAUCAGCUAACUCUGUGCCAGCAGCACCCAGGCUCUACUAGGCCUAUAUUCAAGGAGUGGACUACAGAGGACUCA
rnacentral:ncRNA from 1 species